AUAUAUAUGUCUUCCUAAAAUGUUCUAAAGUUCCAGUGAAUGUUAAUAAGGCUAACUUUAUUAGAAAGAUAACCGCCUUCAAGAUUAUAGAAAAUCAAUUAUUCUAUGGGGAAAAAGAAAGAAAAGUUAUACUGACAGGAGAUGAACAAAAAAAAUAAUUAAAACAAUACAUGAGGGGGGUGUAUCUACAGUUGCAGGUAUUGCUAUGGGAGGGCAUCUGGGGAUUAAUAAAACUAAUCAAAUAAUAGCUGAAAACUUUUAUUGGUUGGGGAGCAAUAAAAGUGUUAGAGAGUUUAUCAAAUCCUGUGAGGUUUGUCAAAAAUCAAGCAGUCGUUUUGAUAAAACCUCAAAUGUUUU